UAUAUAGAUGAUAGCAGAUCACUGCUAUCUAAAUGACCUCGUAGGAUAUCAAAGAACAAAAGCAUAUCCAACAUCUUACGCCUAUCCACAAGGGGAAGUAUAUCAUAGUGUUUGCAGUCUCGGACAUAAGAAUCAUGACGUUUACGGGAUUUAAAGUUUAGAAAUUUUACGAACUUUUUCUGUAGAGUUUCGAUUCUUUUAAUAUAUAUCUCGUAUUGGGGUGACCAGAUUUGGCUACAGUACUCUAAAAUGCUACGCACAUACCUAUGCAAAGUAUAUAAUCUUUAGAAUAUGACAAUUACUAAAAGGCCUACAAGUGCGCAUUACAAAACCUAGGUUACGAGAGGCUCUAUUGGUGAUGGUAUCAAUAUGUUGGUUAAAGAGCAAUUUGGAAUCCAACAUUAUACCAAGAUCUCUUACUACGUCAACUCUUUCNAGAAUAUGAUCUCGGUUCUAUUUUGUUGGUUUUCAGAACUCCGAGGUAAUGAUUAAUAGGGAUAACUGGGGGCAUUCGUAUUGCGACGUUAGAGGUGAAAUUCUUGGAUCGUCGCAAGACGAACAUCAGCGAAAGCAUUUGCCAAAGGUGUUUUCAUCAAUCAAGAACGAAAGUUAGAGGUUCGAAGGCGAUUAGAUACCGCCCUAGUUCUAACCGUAAAUAUGUCAUCUAGCGAUCCGCCGACGUUACUACAAUGGCUCGGCGGGCAGCUUCCGGGAAACCAAAGAUUUUGGACUCCGGGGGGAGUAUGGUUGCAAAGCUGAAACUUAAAGGAAUUGACGGAAGGGCACCACCAGGAGUGGAGCCUGCGGCUUAAUUUGACUCAACACGGGAAAUCUCACCAGGCCCGGACACCGGAAGGAUUGACAGAUUAACAGCUCUUUCUUGAUUCGGUGGGUGGUGGUGCAUGGCCGUUCUUAGUUGGUGGAGCGAUUUGUCUGGUUAAUUCCGGUAACGAACGAGACUCUAGCCUGCUAAAUAGGCGUCGCCAUUUAGGUGUGCGUGGCUCCGUCACGCAACUCACUGGCGACGUAUUAAAAUUCUUCUUAGAGGGACCGGCGGCUUCGAGCCGCACGAGAUUGAGCAAUAACAGGUCUGUGAUGCCCUUAGAUGUCCUGGGCCGCACGCGCGCUACACUGAAGGAAUCAGCAUGUUCUCCCUGGCCUAGAGGCCCGGGCAACCCGCUGAAACUCCUUCGUGCUGGGGAUUGGGGUUUGCAAUUAUCCCCCAUAAACGAGGAAUUCCUAGUAAGCGCGAGUCAUAAGCUCGCGUUGAUUACGUCCCUGCCCUUUGUACACACCGCCCGUCGCUACUACCGAUUGAAUGAUUUAGUGAGGUCUUCGGACCGACACGCGGUGGCUUCACGGCCGUCGGCGUUGCUGGGAAGUUGACCAAACUUGAUCAUUUAGAGGAAGUAAAAGUCGUAACAAGGUUUCCGUAGGGGAACCUGCGGAAG
rnacentral:rRNA from 1 species